rnacentral:lncRNA from 1 species
UUUAUUAUUACUCACUUUAGUUCACACGACAAUUAGUUUUAACACAAAAAAGUAAUUUUUUGGAUCGAUUAAUAAACAUAAUUUGUGACAGUGACAUUGAAUAUUGUAGAAUAAUGAAUGAAACUACACGACAAAAUCAUUCUCGAGCAAUUCAACAUACAAUUGACUUGUACAUUAAUAAUUUACAAGAGUCCUCGAGAAAUGGAAGGAUGACAUUGUCAGAAUAUUUGUAGGCAGUAGUUGAACGCACAAAUAUUCGGCGGGAGCUGAGACAACGUGGCUCAUAUUUGGAAGUGUAGAAAACCAAAGUUAAAGAGAUAUCAGCAAAUGUAAAUUUUCU